rnacentral:rRNA from 1 species
UCAGGCCUAACACAUGCAAGUCGAGCGGGGUUUUCGGACCUAGCGGCGGACGGGUGAGUAAUGCGUAGGAAGCUGCCCGAUAGAGGGGGAUACCAGUUGGAAACGACUGUUAAUACCGCAUAAUGUCUACGGACCAAAGUGUGGGACCUUCGGGCCACAUGCUAUCGGAUGCGCCUACGUGGGAUUAGCUAGUUGGUGAGGUAAUGGCUCACCAAGGCGACGAUCUCUAGCUGGUUUGAGAGGAUGAUCAGCCACACUGGAACUGAGACACGGUCCAGACUCCUACGGGAGGCAGCAGUGGGGAAUAUUGGACAAUGGGC